GAAGCGGAGACCGGAGCCGCGAGCGCCACCAGGGCAGCAGCCGCCGCAGCCGCCGCCGCUGGGCAGAGGAGCCGGAGACGCGAGCGGGCGAGGUGGCGGCGGCGGCGGAGCGGGAGCGGGUACCGGGCGCGGGCAGAGCGCGGCGGCGCGGGUGUGUUCCAGAGAACAAGCCUUCAGACAUUUGCUAUAUUGACGCUGAGCUGUCAGGGGACUCAGGCUUAUGAGGAGGUAUUGUUACACAAAACAGUGUCUAGUGAAGACGACAAGAAAGAGGGGAAAGGAUCGGAAAAAGAAGCUAAAAUACUAUAGAAAACCAUGAGAUCUAUUCGAUCUUUUGCUAAUGAUGAUCGCCAUGUUAUGGUGAAACAUUCAACAAUCUAUCCAUCUCCGGAGGAACUUGAAGCUGUUCAGAAUAUGGUAUCUACUGUUGAAUGUGCUCUUAAACAUGUCUCAGAUUGGUUGGAUGAAACAAAUAAAGGCACAAAAACAGAGGGUGAGACAGAAGUGAAGAAAGAUGAGGCCGGAGAAAACUAUUCCAAGGAUCAAGGUGGUCGGACAUUGUGUGGUGUAAUGAGGAUUGGCCUGGUUGCAAAAGGCUUGCUGAUUAAAGAUGAUAUGGACUUGGAGCUGGUUUUAAUGUGCAAAGACAAACCCACAGAGACCCUGUUAAAUACAGUCAAAGAUAAUCUUCCUAUUCAGAUUCAGAAACUCACAGAAGAGAAAUAUCAAGUGGAACAAUGUGUAAAUGAGGCAUCUAUUAUAAUUCGGAAUACAAAAGAGCCCACGCUAACUUUGAAGGUGAUACUUACCUCACCUCUAAUUAGGGACGAAUUGGAGAAGAAGGAUGGAGAAAAUGUUUCGAUGAAAGAUCCUCCGGACUUAUUGGACAGGCAGAAAUGCCUGAACGCCUUGGCGUCUCUUCGACAUGCCAAAUGGUUUCAGGCAAGGGCAAAUGGAUUAAAAUCAUGUGUAAUUGUCCUCCGCAUUCUGCGUGAUUUGUGCAACAGAGUCCCCACAUGGGCACCAUUGAAAGGAUGGCCACUAGAACUUAUAUGUGAAAAGUCUAUAGGUACUUGUAAUAGACCUUUGGGCGCUGGGGAGGCCUUGAGACGAGUAAUGGAGUGUUUGGCAUCUGGAAUACUACUUCCUGGGGGUCCUGGUCUUCAUGAUCCUUGUGAGCGAGACCCAACAGAUGCUCUGAGCUAUAUGACCAUCCAGCAAAAAGAAGAUAUUACCCACAGUGCACAGCAUGCACUCAGACUAUCAGCCUUUGGCCAGAUUUACAAAGUGCUGGAGAUGGACCCCCUUCCAUCUAGUAAGCCUUUUCAGAAGUAUUCCUGGUCAGUUACUGAUAAAGAAGGUGCUGGGUCUUCAGCUCUAAAGAGGCCAUUUGAAGAUGGAUUAGGGGAUGAUAAAGACCCCAACAAGAAGAUGAAACGAAACUUAAGGAAAAUUCUGGAUAGUAAAGCAAUAGACCUUAUGAAUGCACUAAUGAGGCUAAAUCAGAUCAGGCCUGGGCUUCAGUAUAAGCUCCUAUCUCAGUCUGGCCCCGUUCAUGCCCCAGUCUUCACAAUGUCUGUAGAUGUGGAUGGCACAACAUAUGAAGCCUCAGGACCAUCCAAGAAAACAGCAAAACUUCACGUAGCGGUGAAGGUAUUGCAGGCAAUGGGAUAUCCAACAGGCUUUGAUGCAGAUAUUGAAUGUAUGAGUUCCGAUGAAAAAUCAGAUAAUGAAAGUAAAAAUGAAACAGUGUCUUCAAACUCAAGCAAUAAUACUGGAAAUUCUACAACUGAAACCUCCAGUACCUUAGAGGUAAGAACUCAGGGCCCUAUCCUCACAGCAAGUGGCAAAAACCCUGUAAUGGAGCUCAAUGAAAAAAGAAGAGGUCUCAAGUAUGAACUCAUCUCAGAGACUGGUGGAAGCCAUGACAAGCGCUUUGUAAUGGAGGUAGAAGUAGAUGGACAGAAAUUCAGAGGCGCAGGUCCAAAUAAGAAAGUGGCAAAGGCGAGUGCAGCUUUAGCUGCCUUGGAGAAACUGUUUUCUGGACCCAAUGCGGCAAAUAAUAAGAAAAAGAAGAUUAUCCCUCAGGCAAAGGGCGUUGUGAAUACAGCUGUGUCUGCAGCAGUCCAAGCUGUUCGGGGCAGAGGAAGAGGAACUCUAACAAGGGGAGCUUUUGUUGGGGCGACAGCUGCUCCUGGCUACAUAGCUCCAGGCUAUGGAACACCAUAUGGUUACAGCACAGCUGCCCCUGCCUAUGGUUAAUACUUUUAAGCAGUUUUCAGCACGUUUAUCUCACUUUAUUCUCGUUCUCCUCGGACCUUCGUAGCCAUAUCACUUGUAUAAAAUAGGCUGAGAUAUAGUGACUGUAAGCUGUGAUCUCAGUAUACAAAGAACCAACUUCAGCAAGACUCGGGUGGUGAAUAUCGAGUCUGCAGAGACCAAAUAGACUUAAAGCAAUCCAUCUGUCUUUUCCAGGUUAGGUAGCUAGAUUAUUUAUUUCCCACCUUAUUCAACCAUCAUGGAGUUCAUGUAAAGAUGUGAGGGUUAGGCAGACAUUUUAAUAAAGAUUUGCUUCAUUUAGGUGUGUCCCAUAAAUGCAUUUAAUUGUGUUAGAUGUUGUGUGCUAAGGCUGUAUUUGAUAUAUGUAGAUUAAAAUGAAUUUCAUGUUUCAUAUUUGUUUCUAAGUAGCAGUUUCUUUUGAUGACUCACUUUAAAGUUGCUGGAACAACUCUUGUUUUUUUCCAUGCAGAAUCUGUAUGUACAUUUAAUGUGGCUUUGGCAUCUAUAAAAGGUUGUAUGAGGUAUAGCUGACUAGUACUGAGUGCGAUCCAGUCCUGCUGAAACAGCCCAGUGCCUAUUAGGUACCAGGUCCUCUUCUGGGUACAAGUGAACAGAGGCUGUGACCAGUGGAAGCAUUUUAAUUCUGACAGUCUCCUUGUUGUUGGAAUUGGGCCUAUUACAAAUAUCCUACUUUGGGAACCAGAUACUUAGUUAACUGUGGCAAAAAGAAUAUUAGCUCAGUUAUUAGUUUAAUUAUAAACUAUUUAAUAAUGUAGGCCCUCUGACAUCACCAAAAUAGGCGUCACUUGGAAAUUCACUCAUUUAAAAUAUUUCCCUGGCAGUUUUGAGAGCCUGAAACCUACUCUGGUUUAUGUUCAUGGACCUCUGUCCAAUAAGUGAACGUAAUGAAAUGAAUUCAUAACAAAUACUCCGGUCCUUUCCAAGUAGUUUUUAUAGUAGAACAAAGGACAAAGUGGUUAAUUUAAACACGGAGCACAUUUUUUUUAAUGACAGAUGAGAAAGUUUCACCCUUAUAAUCAGUCAUUCACCAUAAUUUCCCUGUUUCCUAGAUUUCAUUAAUAACUGGAGGGAAAUCUUCAGCAGUGAGUUAGAGAGGAAAGAACUAAGGAGAUCCCCCCUGCUUUCCCCGCCCCUGCCCCCCCCCCCCCACCCCCCCGCCCGCAAUUAGAUUUCAAGCAAUCCAGAGCCCUAUACACCAGGGUCAUUAAGAGCAGUUAAAGCUGAAAACAACCUGCUCUGUGAAUGGUCUUCCCCUAAUUCCCAUUCAUCUGAUGCCAGUGCCUCCUGAGAGAGGGUGGGGGCUAUCUCUGAAUCAUCCAGAAUGAGAAAGGUUCUGUGUAUUCAAACUCAUACUCUAUACAGUCUGACGCCAUGCUGUGCAGUGACCACAGGUUUCUCGGUGUUAUUAGGAGUCUUGGAAAGGAGAUGGGUGGUAAAUGGAUAACAACAGCAGAGCCAAGAAACUACUGCUGAGGUGGGUUUCAAUAUUGAUGUGUUUCUCUCUAGCCCUUAUUUACAGAGCACAGAGCUAGUACUUAUAUAAGAAUGAGUCCCUUCCUUUCUUAAUAGCCUCUUCCCAAAAGACUGUUUUAAGUCAAGAAUUCCAGUUGAGUUGGUUGUAAGAAUAGAUAUCCUUUCCCACAUUAUCAUUUUAGGUAGGAACUAACAGAUUCCAUUGAUGCUUUGAAGCAGCGAUCUUUGGAGGUUUUUAAAAAUAGUACCAUAAUGCAAAUUAGGUUAUGUAAGCUUUACAGCACAGCUAGAAAUAGAGACUAGAAACCAUGCGGGAAUCUGGGCCAAAGAAUUUCUCUCCUUCCAGCACAUUCCCAUGGGGCUCAGGAAUUAGAUGAGUUAAUACACAUAAUAUGUUUUGAACAGUACCUGGUGCAGAGUACGUACUCAGUGAAUGUUGAGUGUUCUUACCAUGGUUGGCCGAGGUGAGGAUGAACGUGAGGAGGGCAAGGCUCUGCCAACAGGUGUUGGAGAGGCAGGUGCAUGGCCUGCUCAGGGUGGAGCUGUGUCGGUUCCUUGGUGCUGAUAGGCGUCAGCUGCUGCCAGGCUUUGGGAGAAGACUCCUGGUAUCUAGGGGUUAGACAAGAAACACACCCCAAAGACCUGGUGAGAGCUAGUGUGGUGGCGUUGCUGCAGAUCCAAGCUUAAGGAAGUUGCUCAUGUGUCUGUUACAGUAGUUAAAUUACCAGCCAGUCUGCUGCCAAGGGUUUGUAAAUACUUGUUUUUUGGCGGGGGGCGGGGGGUGGGAUUUAAGGGUGCUUAGAACUUCAUAAGGGCUGAUCUUAGAAUAUCUACCUGCUGAGUCCAAGUGUCCAACCAGUGCAUUAAUAAUUUUUUAAAAAGGUGUUUGGUUACAACUGCCUCCGGAAUCUAACCUUCAGGGCUUACCAGUGUUUAGUAGGUAGAAAGCAAGUUCCUUUAAAGCACAGAAAGGAAAGGAGGAAACUGAUUGGUGUGCUUAAAAGGCUGUUGACUAGGAUGCUUCAGUGAAAAGCACUCCUAUAGCUUGUCUCUUCUAGUUUGCUUUGAUACUUUUGGGGGGAAAAAUCUGCACUCAACACCAUAUGAGGCCUCCCUUCUGCCUAUUAGUCUUAGAGAAAACAUAUCUGCCCAUCUAUUCGUCUUUCUUUUUGUCUAUCCAUUUACUGUCUGGACACAGUUGGAAAGUUGCUUUUUUUCGAUAAGAGGAAAAUGGGUACAUGAUGAAAUUGAUGCUUUUGGAUUAAAUAGAGGGUGCACGUCUUAUCUUCCAUUCCUUUGUGUGUCUACAAAGACUUCAGGAGCCUCUGCAGAAAGGUGGUCAGAUGCAUCCUUGGCUGUUGGUAAGAGGUGAGCUAAGUGGGGAACAUAGAUUGGAGCCCUCAGAUGCUCCAAGUUUAUAAAAACUGCGUUACGUAGACAAGGACUGAGUGUUACCUUUAAGGAGGCAAAUAAGAUUUGGCUUGUAGUCAGGAGGUUUUUCUUAAAUCUAAGAAAUACUUGUUUAGCUAAUGUCCUGCAAAAGUUAGUACAUUCCCCCCAGGGGAGGCUGUUUGGUGGAGUCUUUGCCUUGUUCAGCCAGCAUUGAGGGAGGACUUUUUUGCCUUGACUGAUCAGUUGUCAACAUUCUAAUUACUUACUCCUUCUGAGGAGGGUCUUGGUCUCUCUUGGCAGAACUUUGCCAUUUCUGCAGAUGAACUGUGCCACCCUGCUGGUGGGCAGAGUGAAGAUAGCCACUGUUUGCCCAGGCAGUUUCAGCACUGGACAAAAGGUGUCUGCAUGCAGGUGUCUGCUAAAUGCCCCAAGUAAUGAGGUGAACAGCAGCCCUCAGUUUAGGUCAUUUGGAGCAGCAGUGGACUGAAGGAGUAGGAAGGGAAGGGGAAGGAGAGAUGCCAACAUUUGUAUCUUGUGUGCCAGGCACUUGGACAUUCUUCUGAAUUCUCCAGCUACCUUUCUGGCAAUAGUAGUAUCCUUAGUUUACAAAAGAAACUGAUGCUCCAGGUUAAGUGCUAGAACCAUUAAUGGAACCUAGUUCUGUUCUAAAGCCUUUUUCUAUUCCAUCCUGCUAUGGAUUAAAAGGCUGCGGCCGACAGGAUGGGCUCUGCUGGUAGCUAGGCCCUCUGACUUGAGGUGACUCCAGAUCAGAUAACCUGGCCUAAAAUAGGGCUCUUUUCAUUUAAAUUGGUUGUGAAGAACGAUUUAACAUACUGGAAGGACAGACUGAAGGGCUGCAUUGCAUCUGUAUCCACAGAGGAAGCAUUUUUAUCUAAAGCUUGUUUUUCUUUGAAUUUCAGUGAAAUCUGAGGUAUGUGUUUUCACUUAGCUUAUAUUUUCCGAGUGCAUGUUCUCUGCCUGGCCUGAGAUAGGUCAUGAGGAUGUCUUCAACAAUUUAAGCCAGACUCUGAAGGCAGGCUGGUGAGGCUUUGGCUCAUUGGGUACAAGGAAGAGGAGCACAGAGGGGCAGCAGCCCAGGUCUGAGGUGUAAGUGCAAGGGGGUGUCCCUGGACGAGUACUCAGUAGAGAUGGGUGGUGGCAGAUUGCAGAGGUCAGUGGUCAUUGCCAGGAGUUUCCCUUGGAGUAGGCCUCAGGGCAGACUGCCAGCCUGGAGUUUGCUGUCUUCCCUCCAAGUUGGACCCGUGUAUGGUAAGCCCUGCUUGGAUGGCUUUGGGGUCUCUAAAUUGCUGCCUGUGAACCACCCUGUUGAGCGUGUUGGAUUCUUCUGCUGCUGUAACCACUUUACCAGCUCCUGGGCUAAUGAAUGACAGCUGGGUCUCUGCUCAGGCGUGGGUGGGUGCGGGGAUGGCUGCGGGAUCCUUUUCAGGACAAAGUAUUCCUCAUCCACCCCAAGUCAUCCUCUUUCUGGGCACUUGGCAAUGUUUCUGUGCACCCUGCUGUAAUCCUGGAGGGGAGCAGGAAAAAGGAACCUUUGAAUCCCAGGCUGUCGUGUUCUAGAGCAUGACUGUGUCAGGGAGAAUGAGCGCCUGGCAUUCAUAGAACACAGUCCUCUCUCAGGCCCUUUCCCGUUUGCCAUUUCAUGACUUGCUGUACUGGUGGCCCUUGGAGAAGCAGCAGUGCAUAGAUCGUUGUUCCCACCUUGCAGACAGGGAGAGUAGAGCCCAGAGAUCUCUCCAAACCACACUGCUUAUUUGUGGCAAAGCAUUGUGGCCCCUAAUGAGUUUUUAACCACCAGAAGAAAUAACAUUUCUUAAGACUGUUUUUAGAGGUAACAGCAGCCCUUUCUGAGGAAUUAGUUUUGAAUUUCACCACAACUGGAAUUAGAAAUUUUCUCCUUUUACAGAUGAGGAAAUAGAUGCUUAGAUAAGGUGACUUGCCCCAAAUUAUAGUGCGGUGAGUGGCGGCGCUCACCCCGUCUGAGGCUAUGCUGUGUGCAGGUGGUUUGCGUCGCUAGUAGGCACCAAUGUCCGUUCUGUCUUCCAAGCCCACUUGGCAGCAGUGGCUUCUCUCUCUGUGAUGUGUUCGGCUCACCUUUCCUGUAGGCUUCUGGGCUAUCCCCUGUGCGCCUUGAAACCAAGCAAAAACCAACCCACAUCUCCCUGAUCCUUCCUUAGCCUCCUAAAAUCCAGACUUUCUGGGCUCGUUCUUUUUCUGUUCCUUUGUUAGUGUGCUACUGGGCAAGGUGACCAACUGGUCAGCCCUGGGCCAGGCAGCCUGUUUUUUUGUUUUGUUUUCUUUUUUGCCAGCUACACAGUUGGGGUUAAUUUCUACAGACCAUCAUUUUAUACUGUAACUGAACCCUAUAAUAAAGUGCAAAUUCAGUAAUUGCUACUUGGAGAGCUCCUCAGGGGUGGGAAGGAGGACAGGGGAUGUGCUGUUGGAAGUAUGUGUUUUAUGUUCCGCCUCAUCCACACUUUGGUUUUUGGCCACAUCCUCCGUUCCUGGCUCGGCCUUCAAACAUGUGCUCUAACCCAUGGGAUCACCGUCACAGUAACACAUUUUCCAGAGCAAUCUGGUGUUGGGAUCCCCUUGGAUUCUUCCAUCAUGAGACUUCUCGGAAGUCUCAGCUUUCUAAAAAUCCCUCAUUCCUGCAGAGGCUACGUUAAAGGAAUAUGGUAGCCAUCAUCUGGGAGGUAAAAAACCUAUGGAAAUUGGCACCUGGGGAACUCAGGAAAGCUGAAAGCACCUUGAAAUGAGAUGGAAGGACCAGAAGGUUAAGGCUGGUGAAGAGGAGACCUGGAGAGAACGUGGGCACUCCUGCCAGGUAUUUUUAAGGGAUUAUAUUUAUUUGUUGUAUGUGGUUCCAAAGGGUGAAAGACAAUUAUGGGAAGCCAGUGGGGCAAUUUGAGCUAAAAUACACCUCCCGCGAUGACAGACGCAGCCUUGAGAGAGCAGCUGAGGUGCGACAUGAGCUCCCUGUAACCAGCAUGUUCAAGCAAGAAGCCGGUUGUGUGGACGGCAAAGAGGAAAUGCUGUGGAAUGUCAGUUUGGACGAACUCUGAUGUUGACUGGUGAUGCUGCCAAGACCAUGUCUCCCUUCUUGGGCACGUAGAUUUAUUGAGAAAAACCAUUCACUGUCACCUACUGCUUCUUACCAGGCUCUGUGAUGGGGGAGAAGGAGCAGUUGGAGAAAAUGUCAGAAUCUGCAGCUUAGACAACUGAGUAGAAGGUGAAAUCAUUGACCCAGAUGGAGAGUACAGGGAGGGGAAGAAAGAGGUGCAGAGGAUUUGAACAGAAUGAGAGUCCUCCUCUGUGCAGGGAGAAAGGCUUCAGUGGGUCUCCCCCUCCCUGCUAGGGAUCCUCCUUGCCAGCCCUGGGCUGGGCGCUGGCAGGCCCGUUCCCAGGUCUCCCGCCGAGGGCAGGAGAGGAGCCAGGCCUCAGGAGAGAAGUGCUUACUGAGUAAUUUACCAAGAGCGAUAGGCUUCCCACUGAGCCAGACGGGAUCCCCAGGAGGGGAGUCAGAGGCGGGCCUGGCAUGCAUGCACAGAGAGAGUGUGCCCACUUGGGGAGUGUGAAGGGCCUUGCUGUGGGACCCGAGAGGAUGAGCAGAGUCAAGUGGCAGGUGGGACACACAGUCUGCAGUCACUUCUUAAAAGGCCCUGGGUGGUGUGUCCUUCAAUGAUGACCAUUGUCCACAAUAGUGAGUUCCAGAGGGUCGAUUGGGACAGUUGGAUAGCCAAGGACCAGAGUCAGGAGGCAAGGCUGAUGAGCAAGAGGCUGUUGCCAUUGGCCAGGCGAGGCGUGAGGGAGGCUGAUGGAGCGCAGCAGCAGAGGGAUGGAGAGGCAGGAAUGGCAUCUCCUCACAGGCCAGGCUCCUCUGCCGGAUUGGGUAGGGACGGGAAGAUGAUGGCCCCCAACCCUGGGCCAAGGAACAAUAGCACCCAUCCGGGGGCGGGGGACCUGCUGGAGUACUUCUCCUGGACCACUGCUCAGUGGGCAAUAGAGGGAACAAUGGUGUUUCUGACCAGGACGGGGGAAGGCAGGGGAAUGGAGGAAGAUACUGACAGGGUACAGAGGAGGUAGAAUGGAGCGAGGGCCAUCUCCACCGGGCUAGGAAAUGGGGCUUUGGUGGGCCACACUCCAUUGUGCUGGAGCACUCUGGCAUCUCCAUUGGCAGUGGGGAGGGGCUUGUGACCUAUCAGCAUCUUCACCCUUUCUGAGUUUCCGCCGGGCUGGGCUCUCCAGCCAGGAGUCACAGGUACCGGGUGGUUGUUCAUGCUGAGGCCUUUUGCUUGGCAAAAAGUUAAUCCAUUUGUGUUCAUUUUUAACCUAAGCAAGGGUUGGAGCUUGUUGGAUUCAGCAUCUGUGGAACACAGUCUGUAGCCCAUGGGAAGACGUGGACAUUCUUUCCCAAGUUCUUGAAGGACGGAAAGGACCAUGAACUUGUGAGGUGACCGGAGGAUUGGUUUUGGGUGUCAGUUUUGUGUCUGUCCCAGUGCUGCCACUUUUGCUUUGAAAUGGACGGGGAGAGCUGAAGGCCAGCAUGGGUUUCUGCACCUGUUUCCUACAGCUCUGCUGGGGACUGUGGCUCAGGUGGCAGCUGUGGACACGGAUCCUGUCAGCCUUUGGGUGGCCAGAGCUCCAAGGCCAGGUGUCUCUUAGCUGCAAGCAGCCUUCACUGUUAAUCAACAGGCUACACAAAUCUCACCUCUAAAGAGGUGAAAUGUGAAAAUAUAUGGGAAGCGCUGCCUUAGCCCUGUGUCCACAAAUCCUUUCUGUAAAGGGCCAGAUAGCAUUUCAGGCUUUAUGGACCAUGUGGUCUCUGCCACAACUGCUCAGCUCUGCCACUGUAGCACAAAAGCAGCCAGAGACAGUGCGUAAAUAGAUAGCAUGGCUGUGUUCUGAUGAAGCUUCACUUACAAAUACACAGGGCUGUAGUUUGCCAACCCCUGCAAAGUAGGGAGUAUUUUGCCAAACUUGGCUGUAUUUCACCAACCCCUUAGACUAUAGAGAUGACUUACCCUUUGGCUUAAUCAUGACUGGAAACUUCCUUCCCAUCCACUGCCUGGAUCCAUCCACCUCCCCACAAAGGCUUCCUGAGCAUCUCCUCCGUGUGAGCACUGGCUCAAUGCACAGGACGAUGUAGUUCCUGCCCAUAUGGAACUUAGGUUUUGAGUGACACGUGGGACAUUGGAAGAGGAGAGCAGGUGGCUAAAGAGCAUCAUACAGAACAGGGCUCAGGGAAGUCCCAGGUGAUAGAAUCUCAAAGAGAAGGGCUGAGGGUGAAUCAGGAAAGCCCUGAAGGCAGGCAGCUCCGGAGUCGGGUUUAGACGAGGAGGCUGCAGUUCUCCAGGAAGGGAAGCAGGACCAGAUAACGGAUGAGAUUGUGUCAAACAAUGAGGAGGCCUGCAUAGUCACACAGGCGCAUGAGGUCUGCUCGUAAAGGACCAGGAGGGCCAGGCUCAGGGGUGUGGACUGGAUUCUCUGGGCUGUAGGGAGCCACUGGACAGCUGUGCUCAGGAGGGUCAUGUGAUCACAAAUGCUUAUUAGAAAUGUCACUGGCUAUGGAGGACCAUGUCUGUGGUUGUAAGUUACGCCUUUCCGUUUAGUCUGGACUUCCUGGUCAAGGUACUUUUGGUAUUAGAGUGGGGAAGAGAGGCCCAGAGAGUUGGACAGGUUUUCUGACCAUUGGCUUAUAGUCAGUGAGCACCCCACCUUUAUUUUGACAUGACAGAGCUUUACAGAAUCUUCCUUCUUCAGGCGUUUUCUUUCCUGCUAUCCUAAAGAUUCACGUACGAGGGCAGGAUAAAUGAAACAUUCUGUCUCCAAUCUAAGUUCGGCUUGGGGCCUCAGAAUAUGAAGGUAAAGGGGCGGGGACGGACUGACUGCCCCUUGCUUCAGAAUCAAGUCACAUGGCGGGAACGCUCUAUGGAGCAGAUUGCUUCCUUUGUACAUGCCCUAGGCCCGUGUUCAGCAGGCCUCAGAGAAGCAGAGGUGCUGGCCUCUCGUCUCCAGAGGCUGCCAGCUACUAAGGGAGGUGGAAGCAACUACCCCUGGGGGUGGACUGCUCUGGGCCGGGCCCGACGUCAGGCGUAGGGGACUGAGGUGAAUCAGACGUGGUGGCUGCAUUGAGGAAUGCUCAGUGUAGUUGGGGUGUUUGUAGCGCUUUCUGCUGAGCAUGGUCUUUCCUCUCAGAGGGGUUUCUAGGCACGUUGAAGGGAGCUGCCGUUCAGAGCAUCGGAGAGGUGCCAGGGACGUGAGCUGCUGCCAGUCUGACGUGAACAGAAGGUGGGAAUAGCUGGCGCUGCCGUGCGUUGAUAGGAGCACAGUGUCCGCUGCGAAGGGGCGGCUAGGGCUGGAGAAAGAUGGCCUGAUAGAAGCGCCUCCACAGGCGCUGAUUCAGCGAAGCCCCAGCAGCCCCGCGGGGCAGGCGAGGAUCACAUGCAGCUCGGAGAAGAGGAGGCACUUGCCCCUCUGCCUGAGCUGGGAGGUGGUGGCCAGCUGCACACAGGGCUGUCCCAGGAUGCUGACGAGGCGGGACCAGCCACAGGCCGGCAGCGCUGCACUGUGACUCCCUUUCACGGGGCCCAGCCUUGUCUCUGGCCUUCCGGGACUGAGUCAGGAGGCGAGGGCUACGUUGCUGCCCCAGCACAGUCGGGCCAGGUGUGGGGAAAGGCGGGAGGGAGGUGUGCUGUGCUCUGAGCAGCCUGGCAGGCCCUGGAGAGGCAGGAAGCCACUGCAAACUUCAGAAACUGGGUGCUGCUUCCUCUCGGUGAAGUUGUGUUUUGCUAAUCUCUGAUAAUCAGGUCAGGGAUACAGAAGGAAGAGUUGCCCCUGGGUGGCUGCUGUCUUUAGACUUGUCGGGCUCCCUCUGGUACAGAAGUGCCUCUCGGAUUUUGCUGCCUGGUCUUCUCUCUUAUGGACAUGGAGUAGCUCUCAGGCUCUUAUGGUACAGCUCUAAGAAGGAACACUUCUUGCAUUGUCUAGUGAAGUUUCUGGGUUUAUGGAAGGGAAACUGACAAACUGGAGCCGGCACAGAUGGACACUGGGUAAAGAGAAUGCAGCCUGUCCCUGGCUGCAGUGCCAGGUGUGGCCUUUCCUGUGACAGCAAGUCACGUGCUGUGGCUCCAGCUUCAUAGGAAGGCUCUUGUCUGUCAGGCAGUGGAGUUACUUACAGACAAGAGCCUUGCUCAGGCCAGCCCUGCCCCUGCCUACAGGCACAGGUGCUUUGCCAUCUGUCCCGUUUUCCUGCUUAGGGAACCAAGAUGGUCAGAAAGUUGCUUGACUCUAACCUAAAUAUUUCUGCCGCUUUUGCGAGUCAGACUCUUUUUCUUUUCCUUGUUCAUGGAAAUGGAUCAAGGAGUAGGAGUUUUAGAUAGCUAGGGAGGUGGUGAGAAGUUCCGUCUCCACCUGUAAUUUACAAGUCGUGUCUUAGGUUUCCAGCCUCUUUCCUCUGUUCUGGGUAUCUCGUGCUCUCCACCCUUUAGGGAUUUUGGUGUGGUGGGUCCGUGGCAAGACACUCGAUCCAGACACACGCAUUUCCGAGGCACUUCCAUGUCACUUACCAAGCCUCCUUGUGUGUGGAUAUCACUUCACUGGCUCCCUCAGGCUGCAGCCCUGACCCCCAAGGUAGUGAUGGCAGCUGGUGCAUGAGGUUUGAUUUGGAAGUAGCCAGGCAAGCCCUGGUUGCAAAAAAUACCUCUUCUAUUCCGACAGCGGGCCAGAGGCCGCUGCCAUUAGACGCAUCCCUCUACUUACCCCCGAUCACUUUUCAUGGUCAGGCCGGCCUUGCACAAGCAGGUUCUGUUCACUGCGCACCCCCAUUUCUUAGAUGGGGUACUGAGCACUGCUUUUCCCUUAGCUCACUUCAUGUGGCAGCUUCUCAGGGAUGGGACCUACCAUGGCUGUGGGAGAUGCUUUGCUACUACUUACUACCUUUCCGAGGGAGGAGGGCUCAUUUUUAGAAAUGUUACUGGGGAGCCAAAUUGUAGGCCUCCGACCAGAGGGCCUCGCUCUCUCCAUCUCCCAGGAACCAAGGGUAGCUCUGGCUCUCUGAGGAGCUGUCUCCAGCCUCCAGGUGGACGUCCUUUCCAGCAUACCAGGGCUUAUGGAGGCAAAAUGAAAGCUGGUCCACGUGGGAACUCCCUACUGUUGUCCUUUCCUUGGGCAGACACCAUAUACUUUUUAGCUCCUAGCAGUGUUUAUCCCGUUUUCCCCAAAGCAUCCUUGGACUCAGGCCUUUCAUCCUGGACCCAUCUGUCUGGCCUGUUGUGCUGAGCCUUUGGUCUAAGUGGUUGGUUGGUCCCAGCCACUUCUUCAAAAGAAGGUUUCCUGAGGUAACCAUAAAUUAGGGCAAUCGUACUUCCAGGAACAGUGAGGCUGAUGGGCCUGUUCCCAAGGGUACUUUGGCAGGGGGUGCUGGGGAAGGGGCUGGCCUAGGGCCAGGUUCAUCAUACCGUUAGCCCUGCAGCCCCAUGCCUGUGUGUCCUGGUUUACCCGCCGUGUAGUGGUCCUGCAGGAGUGGAGCCUGUAGGACUUGCUUCUCAGCGGCUCCAAGCAGAACUCUGUCUGGGAAGGUGGGAGGUGCAGCCAGUCUAGACCUGAAGCCCUCACACUAAGGACUAAGGUAGGCCUGCUCAGCCUUAGCCCUUCGUCAGGCCCAAGGGUGGGGGAGGCAGGAGGAGGCUGAGCGUAGUCGUGGAUAGAAACCUUUCCCUACCGCACGGUUACACACAUGGCAUGGGACUCCUGGCUGUAGCUCACUCGGGUCUACUGAAGACCAAGUUGGUUUUUAGAAAUCUAUUUAAAAUAUCUAUCAUGUAUCUAUUUACUGUGUUUUUCUGAAUACGCAAGUGUAAAUAGUAUAAUUUGCAGUGCAAAAUCCUUGGCAAUAACUUUGUGUAUUAUGUUUAAAAACACUGGAAACCGUGACCACCAUGGACUGCCCUUCCCCUCUGAGGCAAUUAUUACAUGUAGGACUCUGAACUUUAAACCUUCAGCGUGACUGAAGCAGCAGCCUGCACAUGUGGAUGGUCAUCAGUGCCUCGCCCAGAGAUACCUGGCCUUCAUCCAAAGGGACCCUGCUGCCACAAGUCCUCCAGGCAGCACCCGCACUGUGGCUCCUUCGCACUGAGUAUGUUGGACUCUGCCAUAGACUGACCCUCUUGUCUGGCUGCUGCAGUUUGUCUGUAAUGCCCUGACAUGUUGCAUUCUCCCCAUUUGGAUAAAUAAAAACAAACAAAUGCUUCUGUCACACACA